rnacentral:piRNA from 1 species
UACAGAGUCCAAAAUUUCUUC